rnacentral:pre_miRNA from 1 species
AAGAGAGGCAGAAGAAAGAAAACUUGAAAGAGAAGAAAAAAGAAGACAAGAAGAAAGUCUUCUUUUUUCUUCUCUUUCAAGUUUUCUUUCUUCUGCCUCUCUUUC